AGCUCCAAUAGCGUAUAUUAAAGUUGCUGCAGUUAAAAAGCUCGUAGUUGGAUUUCUGGUAUGGUGCGCCUGGCCCGCGCCGUUAGGUUGUGAGUGCCAGGUCGCGCCUGCCAUCCUUCUAGAUAGCAGCUCUACCCCUCACGGGGCCGGAGUUUGCCGUCUAGAUCUUUUACUUUGAAAAAAUUAGAGUGUUUCAAGCAGGCUUAUGCUAUGAAUACAUUAGCAUGGAAUAAUCAACUAGGACUUCGGUUCUAUUUUGUUGGUUUCUAGGACUGAAGUAAUGAUUGAUAGGGAUAGUUGGGGGUGCUAGUAUUCAGCGGCCAGAGGUGAAAUUCUCGGAUUCGCUGAAGACUAACUAAUGCGAAAGCAUUCACCAAGUUUGUUUUCU
rnacentral:rRNA from 1 species